GCGGCGGCGGUGGCGGCGGCGGCGGCGAGCCGGCGCUGGAGACUCGCGAGGCGUACCUCAUCACUGGCGAGCACCACUGCUACGCGCUCCGCUCCGGGCCGUACGCCAUCCACGUGCUGUUCCAGCGCGGCACGCCUCCGCACGUCAUGCGGGGCCUGACUCAGAGCACGCUGCGGCUGCUGACGUCCAUCAAACAGGUCCGCUUCUGAGGCGGCCGACGGCGCGGCGCCACUGUGGCGGCGCUUCCUUCCGGCAGCAGCUCCGCGGAUGUCGGCACCCGACCGGCGCCCCGGGCCGGGGCGGAAGCCUGGGCGUCACGAGACGGGCCAACCGCGUCGGUGUCGGCCGGAACGACGCCACUGCGCCGCAUCCUGCCGCCGCGCAACGUCUCGAACUGCGCCACCGCCGCUGAACGCGCCGCUGCUGAUACGCGGCUGUCCCGGAAGAGGAACACGACCGAAAGUUCGUGCGAAUGGUCUAUCUCUCGCGGAAGUUUGAUCGUCUGUCGACUCGGGAGCGUUCGGACGGUGCCUGCACUAGGCCACGAUUCGAGUAGCGACGGGCACAGUUAACAUGGCGACGGGCACAGUAAGGGCAUGUUUGUCCUCGUGCGGAUGACACGGUUUGAUGUGCAGCUCUGCUCGAUACUCGAUAGGGGUUUUUUAAACCCUUCGACGAAGGCCAUGAGCGGCGGGACUAAACCAGGGAUAUCGGCAUUCCUACAUGCUGUGAGACGUCUUCCAUCCGUAUGCAGCUGCCAUGUUUUCAUAUCACGUCUGUUUGUAAAUGGGGCCGCAACGCCCCACGCUAACAUUUCGUGCCUGUUUUCCAUUACCAUUGUUGACAUGUCACAUUUGUUCGCAGUCGUAUAGAAAUGUGGUGCACCGUGAGACUACAGUGCCCGGUUUGAAAACCUCAAGUUAUCGCGGAGGACGAUACACUGCGUCAUCACUGCU